rnacentral:rRNA from 1 species
AUGGACCUUGGGCGCCUCAAUUAUGGGAUUGUGACCCUCAUCCCCAAGGUCCCGGGCACUUCUGACAUUCGCCAGUUCCGCCCAAUCACAGUGAUUAAUGUGAUUUUCCGGAUCUUGGCCAAAGGGUACGCCAAUAGGGUGACCCUCCUCGCUGACACGAUUACCCAUCCAAACCAAUCCGCCUUCAUACAAGUCUGAUUUAUUCUUGAUGGGGUGUUAGUAUUUCACGAAGUCCUCCAUGAGGUUCGGCUAAAAUGCCAUCGCGCGGUCUUCCUAAAGCUAGACUUUCACAAAGCCUACGACAUGGUACACUGGCCAUUCCUGCGGGAAGUGUUGCUUCGCAAGGGCUUCGACGACCGUUGGGUGACUCGCGUCAUGCAGCUUGUCUCCUGUGGCCGGACCGCGGUGAACAUCAACGGUGACAUUGGGCCCUAA